rnacentral:lncRNA from 10 species
GAGGGCGCGGCGCGGCAGCAGCUCCGGCGGCCGAGACGGGGGCGGCGGCCGCGCGGGUCUGGCGGGACCGGUUUGGAAGACUUUGCCGGCCUGCAGGACACAUGAUGACAUUGGACCCACCCUCCCCAGCUCGGAGUCUUUAACUCAGUCACAUCUACGGAGUCCCUUUGGCCACAUAAGAUUGGCCUUAAGAGAAGGACGGAGCCACAUACUGCUGACGGCCCAGAACUGGCAGAGAGAAGGUUGCCAUGGCUGCUGUUGACAGUUUCUACCUCUUGUACAGGGAAAUCGCCAGGUCUUGCAAUUGCUAUAUGGAAGCUCUAGCUUUGGUUGGAGCCUGGUAUACGGCCAGAAAAAGCAUCACUGUCAUCUGUGACUUUUACAGCCUGAUCAGGCUGCAUUUUAUCCCCCGCCUGGGGAGCAGAGCAGACUUGAUCAAGCAGUAUGGAAGAUGGGCCG